UUUGUUUUAAAUUAGAGAUGCAGAUGCAGGGUACCAUCCCUGAUCACACUGCUGAUCAAGAUGAUCUCCCAUAUCUUGAGAAACGGGAAGCCGCUUCCAGCGCUGGAUGCUCAGCAUUGAGGGCCAAAUUGUGUGUGAAGGGAUCCAGUCCACCUUCCUGUUUUUACAUCUUUAACCUACAGUACCAAGAGGAGGCAGCCUGCACGCUUGAAUUCAUCCAGAGAUGCUUUGUGGGUAUAAACCCAGAAAAAAGGACAAAGGUUGCAAAGGGGAAAAAAACGAAGAAUGG